GGAAGAGUUAGGGCACUUUCUACCUCUAAUAAACUAUUGUAUCUACUACUCAUUUCUUUGAAUGUAUGGUUAAUUUGUAGUUUGUGUAUGAUAUUUACUGAAAAAAAAUCGAGGUUCCUUGAAUCCAGGGAGUAAAACGAGCCAAACCUAACACAGUGCAAGUCAUUUCUUUUGUUAGGAGAGCACAAGCUCAUGAGAAGCAAUGUCUUAACAUUUCUAAAGCUUGGACCAUAUGUGAACCUUCCGACUGUUUUCAUUGAAGGCCACAAAUGUGCAUUGUGUUAACCUUGGUUGCUUGGUUCCAUAUAUUGUGAUUACAAUGUCUCUUUUGUUUGUAGGUUAGGGUAUCUGAUAGACUCUUCUUUAUGGUUAAG
rnacentral:misc_RNA from 1 species